rnacentral:rRNA from 1 species
AGUCGAACGAACUCUUCGGAGUUAGUGGCGGACGGGUGAGUAACACGUGGGAACGUGCCUUUAGGUUCGGAAUAACUCAGGGAAACUUGUGCUAAUACCGAAUGUGCCCUUCGGGGGAAAGAUUUAUCGCCUUUAGAGCGGCCCGCGUCUGAUUAGCUAGUUGGUGAGGUAAAGGCUCACCAAGGCGACGAUCAGUAGCUGGUCUGAGAGGAUGAUCAGCCACAUUGGGACUGAGACACGGCCCAAACUCCUACGGGAGGCAGCAGUGGGGAAUCUUGCGCAAUGGGCGAAAGCCUGACGCAGCCAUGCCGCGUGAAUGAUGAAGGUCUUAGGAUUGUAAAAUUCUUUCACCGGGGACGAUAAUGACGGUACCCGGAGAAGAAGCCCCGGCUAACUUCGUGCCAGCAGCCGCGGUAAUACGAAGGGGGCUAGCGUUGCUCGGAAUUACUGGGCGUAAAGGGAGCGUAGGCGGACAUUUAAGUCAGGGGUGAAAUCCCGGGGCUCAACCUCGGAAUUGCCUUUGAUACUGGGUGUCUUGAGUAUGAGAGAGGUAUGUGGAACUCCGAGUGUAGAGGUGAAAUUCGUAGAUAUUCGGAAGAACACCAGUGGCGAAGGCGACAUACUGGCUCAUUACUGACGC